rnacentral:lncRNA from 1 species
GUGAGUAUCCUUCACAAGGUGGAGCGCACGGUGGGGUUGGAGACCGACACCGCGGACAUUCUCAACGAGUUGUUUCUGGCGACGAGGAAGUGGGGGCGGGUGUCCGUGAUCGCGGACUACCUUGGCUACUGCAAUCACUUUGGGAUCGGGAUGGUGAUGAUGAAGCACUUGACGCUGCGAGGGGGGCAGUGCCCGUGCCAGCGUUACUUCGACACGGUGAUGGACCACGUCAAGAGUGGAAAGUUUGAUCCGAGCUUCAUGGUUUCCCACAGGAUCAAGCUGGAGGACGCGCCGGAAGCGUACCGCAAGCUCUUCAACAAAGAGGAUGGUUACAUCAAAGUCUUUAUAGAAGUGUGAGAAAUGUGAGAAGGGAGAUACUUAUUAAGUUAGUUUUUAAGUAAGUAAAUGUAUAUAGAUUCCUUGGAGUUUAGGGCGAAGCUAGCUAUGGCGCUCUUGUCGGGCUGUGCUCUAUGUGAAUUUGGAGGUGGAUGGAGCUGCCGCUACGAAUGCGGCGAUCAAGGAAGCUCAAACUGGUAAGCCAAGCCCAAGAGCGGAGAGAACGAUAAGCUUUCCAUUUUCCUUCUUUCGCUUCUCUCUCUCUCUCUCUCACGAUAAGCUUUUCAUUUUUCUUCUUUUGCUUUCAUGUUUUCACGUUAACACUUCUCUUGCUGUAUAGUGAAUGUGAAUCUGGGAGGCUCGAGCUCCAUGACCGCCGAUGCAAAGAAGAAACUCUUGUGAAUCAAACGAGGCCGUGGUGCUAGGCAAACAAGCUGCCGACUCAGUUUUGUUUCAAAAGCAUGCCAGAGAGUUUGAAGUUUGAGGCAACCACGGCUUUUCUUACCGCUGUUGCCAAAGGGGAUGACUCGGCCAGAGCGGAGAGAUUGAUGGACGAGCUAAACAGCUCGUUGUCCGUCGACGCCUGGAACGCGUUUCUACGCAUGUAUCUCAGCACGACAAGCUGCGGGACAGUUACUACAGGUUCAAGCAGAAAGGCCUGGCUGGUUCUCCAGUGCCGAGAAAGAGUCGGUGGUUUUGAGAAGAUUGAGAUGGAGUUUGACGUGGAGCUGAAAAGAACUAACUUCGAAGAGGCAGACACACGGCUACUCAACCUGAUAAUCCGUUUCCUAUGCGCUCUUGGGAAAGCGGAAGAUGGUGGACAGGAUGUGGACGCUGCUCAAGAGCGAACAAGUUGCUACUCCAGUCCUUUGGUUUAUUAGGUGCUGGAGGACGUGCUGCAAAAGUUCGAGCGGAUUCCUCAAAUUCCAUACAUCUGGACGAGAUGAUGGACCAGGCGGAAGCUCAUGGAGAAGCACAUCGGCAAUAAUUGCUUCCUUCUCUGCAACUUUCUACCGGAAGCUCUUUUGGUGGCUUUGCUCCAAGAGGGGCGACAUACACUCGGCCGAGAAACUACGGCUCCUGCGGUGACGUGAAGGUCUACAAACGUCUACGUUUCUAGAAAGAGGAUGCCAACCGACUUCCUUCACCGGAUGAAGAACCACAACAUUGAACCCAACGAAGAGACGUGGAGGCUCAGUACUGUCUGGAGAGUCGGAUAGCUCACUUGAAGUUUUCCAGGGAAGGAAAAGAAAUCAGGAACCGCGGCUUAACUCUAAGUACGUGCGAAGCAAUGUUUCCUUGUUCUAGAUUUGUCCACGCAUAUACUUGCAUGCAUGGAUAGUGGCUGCCACCUGUUCCUAGUUGAAGCUACAGGUGUCAACCAAGCCGAAGGUCUCCAACUGGUGAAAACUCGAGUGGACGAUCGAUCGAAAAUCUUCUCGGGUUUCUCCACGGCAACCAGGAAAGGGAAGAAAGCUCGCUAGCUCUUUGGUUUUCUCAAAGCUUCUCACUCGCUAUGAUGAACGCCGCCGCGCAGGCUCUAGAUGAGAAAGUUGGGAAGGUCCCGGUGGCUCAAGGCUCGACGAGGCCAGCAACAUCGGAGACGGAGGUGAUGCGAGCAAUUACAUGGCAGGGAAAGAAAACAAUUUCGUUGGACAAGGUACCGAAGCCGGUCAUCACGCAUCCGAAGGACGUGAUCGUCAAAGUCACUGCUUGCACCAUUUGCUCCGGCUCCGAUUCUCACGUCUACGCCGGAGAGGUUCCCGACACCUCCAAAGGCCAGAUCAUGGGACACGAAGGCUGCGGUGUGGUGUCCGAGGUGGGUGAAGCGGUGACCAAGUUCAAGGCCGGGGACCGAGUCGUCAUCGCCUUUGACAUCGCCUGUGGCGAGUGCGACUACUGCAAGCGCGGUGAGUUCACAGGCUGCGACACCACCAACGACUCGAAGCUCAGCGAGUUCGUCUACGGUCACAGGCACUCUGGCAUCUUCGGCUAUGGAAACUUGCUCGGUGGAGUUCCUGGCUCGCAGGCCGAGUUCGUCCGAGUCCCCUUCGCGGACGUGAACUGCUACAAGAUCCCGGACGAGGUCCCGGACGAGAAGGCGCUCUAUCUCUCCGACGUCCUGUGCACGUCCUACCACGCCGUGAUGCUGGCCGGGGGAGUGAAAGCUGGUGAAAGCGUGGCUAUCUGGGGGCUGGGACCGAUCGGGCUUUGCGCCGCGAGGUGGUGCCAGAUCAUGGGAGCUUCCAAGGUGGUCGGGAUAGAUUUCGUCAAGGAGAGGCUGGAGGUGGCGGAGAAGAAGCUGGGGAUCACAGUCAUCGAUCGAAACUCCGUCAAGGACGUUCCAAAGAGGAUCUUUGAGCUGGUUCCGGGAGGAGUGGACGCGAGCAUCGAGGCGGCGGGGUUCCGGUUCCCUGUGUCUAUCCUUCACAAGGUGGAGCGCACGGUGGGGUUGGAGACCGAUACCGCGGACAUUCUCAACGAGUUGCUUCUGGCGACGAGGAAGUGGGGGCGGGUGUCCGUGAUCGCGGACUACCUUGGCUACUGCAAUCACUUUGGGAUUGGCAUGCUGAUGAUGAAGCACUUGACGCUGCGAUCGGGCCAAUGCCCGUGCCAGCGCUACUUCGACACGGUGAUGGAUCACGUCAAGAGUG